rnacentral:tRNA from 1 species
UUUCCUAUGACUCAGUUGGUAGAGCAUUGUGCUAACAACGCAAAGGUCAUGGGUUAAAAUCCCAGGGAAAG